rnacentral:rRNA from 1 species
AGAACGAACGCUGGCGGCAGGCUUAACACAUGCAAGUCGAACGCUCCGCAAGGGGAGUGGCAGACGGGUGAGUAACGCGUGGGAAUCUACCCAAUACUACGGAAUAGCUCCGGGAAACUGGAAUUAAUACCGUAUGUGCCCUACGGGGGAAAGAUUUAUCGGUAUUGGAUGAGCCCGCGUUGGAUUAGCUAGUUGGUGAGGUAACGGCCCACCAAGGCGACGAUCCAUAGCUGGUCUGAGAGGAUGAUCAGCCACACUGGGACUGAGACACGGCCCAGACUCCUACGGGAGGCAGCAGUGGGGAAUAUUGGACAAUGGGCGCAAGCCUGAUCCAGCCAUGCCGCGUGAGUGAUGAAGGCCUUAGGGUUGUAAAGCUCUUUCAGUGGGGAAGAUAAUGACGGUACCACAGAAGAAGCCCCGGCUAACUUCGUGCCAGCAGCCGC